rnacentral:rRNA from 1 species
UCUUUCUUUGCUGGCGACCGGCGCACGGGUGAGUAACACGUAUCCAACCUGCCCUUUACUCGGGGAUAGCCUUUCGAAAGAAAGAUUAAUACCCGAUAGCAUAAUGAUUCCGCAUGGUUUCAUUAUUAAAGGAUUCCGGUAAAGGAUGGGGAUGCGUUCCAUUAGGUUGUUGGUGAGGUAACGGCCCACCAAGCCUUCGAUGGAUAGGGGUUCUGAGAGGAAGGCCCCCCACAUUGGAACUGAGACACGGUCCAA